CGGCGGUCACGGGUAACGGAGAAUUAGGGUUCGAUUCCGGAGAGGGAGCCUGAGAAACGGCUACCACAUCUAAGGAAGGCAGCAGGCGCGUAAAUUACCCAAUCCCGAUUCGGGGAGGUAGUGACAAGAAAUAACAACUCGGGCGCCGCAAGGCGUUGCGAGAUUGCAAUGGGUACAAUUUAAAUCACUUAACGAGUAACAAUUGGAGGGCAAGUCCGGUGCCAGCAGCCGCGGUAAUUCCAGCUCCAAUAGCGUAUAUUAAAGUUGUUGCAGUUAAAAAGCUCGUAGUCGAAGUUCUGGCUGGUCCCGUUUCCGGCUUCGGUCGACUCGGGACCUAGCCAUCCGUCGGAGAACCCUUGUCGUCCUUCAGUGGUCGCUUGGGGGGACCGACCCUUUACUUUGAAAAAAUUGGAGUGUUUCAGGCAGGCCAUCGCCCGAAUACUCCAGCAUGGAAUAAUGGAAUAGGACUUUGUUCUAUUUUGUUGGUUAUUAGAGCGAAGUAAUGAUUAAUAGGGACAGUUGGGGGCAUUCGUACUUAAUUGUCAGAGGUGAAAUUCUUGGAUUUAUUAAAGACGAACUAAUGCGAAAG
rnacentral:rRNA from 1 species